AAAGCAUAUGGUGGAUGCCUUGGCAUAAUGUGCCGAAGAAGGACGUAAUAAGCCGCGAUAGUCGUCGGUGAGGAGCUAAUAUCCUUUGACCCGGCGGUGUCCGAAUGGGGUAACCCCGGUUCGUGUAAACGGACUGGACCGAGAGAUUUAUCUUUCGGUCGGUAACCCGGAGAACUGAAACAUCUAAGUACCCGGAGGAAAAGAAAUCGAAUGAGAUUUCCUUAGUAGCGGUGAGCGAAAAGGAAAUAGCCUAAACCCAUAUUUAUAUGGGUGUUGCAGGACCAGAUAUAUGAUGUUGUUUCGAUAGAAGAACACCGUGGAAUAGGUGGCCAUAGAGAGUGACAGCCUCGUAAUCGAAAUUGAAGCAACAUUAAUUUGGCACCUAAGUACGUUGGGAGACGGCAAACUCCCUGCGGAAUCCGCCCCGACCACGGGGCAAGGCUAAAUACACAUUAUGACCGAUAGUGAACGAGUACCGUGAGGGAAAGGUGAAAAGAUGGGUGAGACACCCAGUGAAAUAGUACCUGAAACCGUAUGCUAACAAACAGACAGAGCUUCGAUUUAUCGGAGUAAUGUCGUGCCUAUUGAAGAAUGACCCGUCGAGUUUGCAUGUACUGCUAGUCUAAGUGAUAUCGUCACGGAGGCGUAGUGAAAGCGAGGAUGAAUAGUCC
rnacentral:rRNA from 1 species